rnacentral:tRNA from 1 species
CUUGCGGAGGGCUUCAUCCCGCGCCUGCUCAAGGUGUUGGAUGAGCUGGAGGGGGACGGG